rnacentral:rRNA from 1 species
GACGAACGCUGGCGGCGUGCUUAACACAUGCCAGUCGAACGGAAAGGCCCCUUUGGGGGUACUCGAGUGGCGAACGGGUGAGUAACACGUGAGUAACCUGCCCUUGACUUCGGGAUAACUUCAGGAAACUGGGGCUAAUACCGGAUAGGAAUCCUUGCUGCAUGGUGGGGGUUGGAAAGCUUCGGCGGUUUUGGAUGGACUCGCGGCUUAUCAGCUUGUUGGUGGGGUAGUGGCUUACCAAGGCUUUGACGGGUAGCCGGCCUGAGAGGGCGACCGGCCACAUUGGGACUGAGAUACGGCCCAGACUCCUACGGGAGGCAGCAGUGGGGAAGAUUGCACAAUGGGCGGAAGCCUGAUGCAGCAACGCCGCGUGCGGGAUGACGGCCUUCGGGUUGUAAACCGCUUUCAGCAGGGGCGAAGCUUGUGGUGACGGUACCUGCAGAAGAAGCACCGGCUAACUACGUG